rnacentral:rRNA from 1 species
GACGAACGCUGGCGGCGUGCUUAACACAUGCAAGUCGAGCGGUAAGGCCCUUUCGGGGGUACACGAGCGGCGAACGGGUGAGUAACACGUGGGUGACCUGCCUCUAGCUCUGGGAUAAGCCUGGGAAGCUGGGUCUAAUACCGGAUAUGACCUCGCGGUGCAUGUUGCGGGGUGGAAAGCCUUGUGCGGCUAGGGAUGGGCCCGCGGCCUAUCAGCUUGUUGGUGGGGUGAGGCCUACCAAGGCGACGACGGGUAGCCGGCCUGAGAGGGCGACCGGCCACACUGGGACUGAGACACGGCCCAGACUCCUACGGGAGGCAGCAGUGGGGAAUCUUGCGCAAUGGGCGAAAGCCUGACGCAGCGACGCCGCGUGAGGGAUGACGGCCU